UACGUAGGGCGCAAGCGUUGUCCGGAAUUAUUGGGCGUAAAGAGCUCGUAGGUGGUGUGUCGCGUCUGCCGUGAAAGCCCGGGGCUUAACUCCGGGUCUGCGGUGGAUACGGGCAGACUAGAGGCAGGUAGGGGAGAACGGAAUUCCCGGUGUAGCGGUGAAAUGCGCAGAUAUCGGGAAGAACACCCGUGGCGAAGGCGGCUCUCUGGGACGGUACUGACGCUGAGACGCGAAAGCGUGGGGAGCGAACAGG
rnacentral:rRNA from 1 species